AUUGAACGCUGGCGGCAGGCCUAACACAUGCAAGUCGGGCGAGCGGAGGACGGGUGAGUAAUGUAUGGGGAUCUGCCUGAUGGAGGGGGAUAACUACUGGAAACGGUAGCUAAUACCGCAUACCAUCAGCUGUAUCCACAUGGGAUUCGCUAGUAGGUGAGGUAACGGCGUACCUAGGCGACGAUCCCUAGCUGGUCUGAGAGGAUGAUCAGCCACACGGGGACUGCGACACGGCCCAGACUCCUACGGGAGGCAGCAUGGGGGAAUAUUGCACAAUGGGCGCAAGCCUGAUGCAGCCAUGCAGCGUGUAUGAAGAAGGCCUUCGGGUUGUAAAGUACUUGCAGUCGGGAGGCGUUACCGACAGAAGAAGCACCGGCUAACUCCGUGCCAGCAGCCGCGGUAAGUC
rnacentral:rRNA from 1 species